rnacentral:rRNA from 1 species
UGGGGAAUAUUGGACAAUGGGCGAAAGCCUGAUCCAGCCAUGCCUCGUGUGUGAAGAAGGUCUUCGGAUUGUACAGCACUUUAAGUUGGGAGGAAGGGCAGUAAGCGAAUACCUUGCUGUUUUGACGUUACCGACAGAAUAAGCACCGGCUAACUCUGUGCCAGCAGCCGCGGUACUACAGAGGGUGCAAGCGUUAAUCGGAAUUACUGGGCGUAAAGCGCGCGUAGGUGGUUCGUUAAGUUGAAUGUGAAAGCCCCGGGCUCAACCUGGGAACUGCAUCCAAAACUGGCGGGCUAGAGUAGGGCAGAGGGUGGUGGAAUUUCCUGUGUAGCAGUGAAAUGAGUAGAUAUAGGAAGGAACACCAGUGGCGAAGGCGACCACCUGGGCUCAUACUGACACUGAGGUGCGAAAGCGUGGGGAGCAAACAGG